ACGCUGGCUACAGGCUUAACACAUGCAAGUCGAGGGGCAGCAUGCCGGUUGCUUGCAACCGGUGAUGGCGACCGGCGCACGGGUGAGUAACGCGUAUCCAACCUUCCCGCGACCAAGGGAUAACCUGCCGAAAGGCAGACUAAUACCUUAUGUCCUCCUUUGAAGGCAUCUGACGAGGAGCAAAGAUCCGUCGGUCACGGAUGGGGAUGCGUCCGAUUAGCUUGUUGGCGGGGCAACGGCCCACCAAGGCUUCGAUCGGUAGGGGUUCUGAGAGGAAGGCCCCCCACACUGGAACUGAGACACGGUCCAGACUCCUACGGGAGGCAGCAGUGAGGAAUAUUGGUCAAUGGGCGGAAGCCUGAACCAGCCAAGUAGCGUGCAGGAUGACGGCCCUACGGGUUGUAAACUGCUUUUAUGCGGGGAUAAAGUUGCCCGCGCGUGGGUUUUUGCAGGUACCGCAUGAAUAAGGACCGGCUAAUUCCGUGCCAGCAGCCGCGGUAAUACGGAAGGUCCGGGCGUUAUCCGGAUUUAUUGGGUUUAAAGGGAGCGCAGGCCGCCGUGCAAGCGUGCCGUGAAAAGCAGCGGCCCAACCGCUGCCCUGCGGCGCGAACUGCCUGGCUUGAGUGCGCCGGAAGCGGGCGGAAUUCGUGGUGUAGCGGUGAAAUGCUUAGAUAUCACGAAGAACCCCGAUUGCGAAGGCAGCCCGCUGUGGCGCCACUGACGCUGAGGCUCGAAGGUGCGGGUAUCGAACAGGAUUAGAUACCCUGGUAGUCCGCACGGUAAACGAUGGAUACCCGCUGUCCGGCCCGUACGGUCUGGGCGGCCAAGCGAAAGCGUUAAGUAUCCCAUCUGGGGAGUACGCCGGCAACGGUGAAACUCAAAGGAAUUGACGGGGGCCCGCACAAGCGGA
rnacentral:rRNA from 1 species